CUUGACGGUUCGAAGGCGGUUCCUGGGUCAAGCGGCAGGGCAGGGCAGGGGCAGCUGGCCUCUCUUCUCUCACUCUCCAGAAGAUCUGACCUAUCCUCUUCUCCUCUGGUCCUCCCAUCUCUCACGCAACGGCGGCAGCCGGCAGGGCAGCUGGCUGGGAGGGCUCGAGAUCGAUGACACACCGAAAUCGAUGCAAUUAAGCGCGUCGAAGAGUCUGUUCAUCACCCUGGCGUGGAUCCAGAGCGGGUUGAGUACCGAGAUCUAGCGUCGAAGGCGUGCUUGAGGAGGAUGCCAGACAAGGGGAUGAAGAGCAGGCGCCGAGAGAAACGGGGGAAGGCGCAGAGGAGGAGUCGAGCGACGGGAUGGAGUGGUGGGUCGAGCAGGUCGGCGGCGUUCUCGGAGUAGGCUAGGAGGAGGAAGGAGAAGGAGUCGGCGAUGGCGAGUGUGCAGCUGAAGGGCUGGAUGUGGCAGCUGCGCUGGAUGCGUGCAGCUGAAGGACUGAGAGUAAUCGAACUGCUCCAACACCGCUUGGAGACCCGCGGCCAUGAUAUGUGACGGCUUGCGUCGUUCAUUCUUGAUUCUGGCAGGAUGGCCGGCGAGACUUCGAGAUAGCGUCUGAAGAUGGUCGCGACUGUCCCACAGUGAACAGCUAGCCCGCGCUGGUGCCUGGUGAGCCGGAGUCACCGCCUGGAGAGCGUCGAGCGGCAGCUUCUGACCCCGAAUUGAUGGUCUAUGACAAUGCAAAGACCGUCCCAGUCUGGGAGCUCGCGCAGCCAAGGGUGUGCAGCCCGAGCGGGUGAGCUGGAAUCAGCGUCAAGGGGGUGACUUCAACAGGAGCUUGGCUCAUCCUCAGCCGCAGGGACGGCAGGCAGAAGACAACGCCUUAUUGGAAUAGCAGAACAAUGAUUUAUUGAAUUCCCUUUGACAAGAAGCUUAACGGCAGCUUUCGGGAUGUAUAAGAGAUGAAAACACAUUUCCACCACUCCUGCUAGAGCUGCAACAAUCGGCCUUCUCUGGCGAUGGGAUGGAAAUGGUGGGUAUGAGGUAAUAGCGACGGCAACGGUUGUGUCUCUUGGCUGUGUCGUGACACUCUCCUUAUCUAGGUGCACUGCCGCGACCGCUGGAAGCAAAAUCCAUGGGGCGAACCAUGUUCAAAGUCUUAAAGAAGUGGUGCCAUCAUGGGGCGUGCCCCCACCCUUAUUCCACGCCUCACGACCAUUGGAGAUGAUGAAGAAGAACUACAGUCUAUUCUGGGCAGGUAAUCUGCAGCUUGGUUUGCCAUCAGGGGAGCUAUGUGUGUUGUGUGUGUUCUUUACCUACUAAUCGAGCGGUGAUGUGUUGUAUAAGCCGUAGGGAUAUUUUUUCCCUAUUGAGGUUAUCCGUGAAAAGUCAAAUGGGGCUGAGAUGACCACUGUAGAAGAGCUGUCCGUUAUGAAUCUUCAUAUAGCCUUGGUAAGAAUUUGUUGUUUGCCCCACGGUUUACCUUUAAAUAGGAGAUUGCAUUGUGUUUCAGAGUGUAAACUGUUCAGAUGUAAAUCUAAGAUCGAAAGCUUGCAGCUUAACCGGAA